CAUAACACCUCUGAGCUUUCGGAAGCUGACAAGCUCUUCAAAGCGCAGGCCAUAUGGAGAGGUUCUAGCCAAUGGCCAGAAGCAAAUGCCAGAGGUAGGAGUGCAGAUGACUCCAGAUGAUUCUAGCUCCCACCUUUGAGUCUUCCCAAAUGAGGUUCCAGACACUGUGGAGAAGAGAUACGAUCUGCAGUGUUUGAUAUGUUUUUGCUGCACCCUCCAAUUCCAAAUGCACAGGAUCUGGGAGUGCAAUAAGAGCGUUGUUUUAACCUUCUAAGUUUUGGGAUGAUUUGUCACAGGACGACAGUAAUUGGAACAGCAGAAAUUAAAGAUAGCAUAUUGCAAGAACUUUGGCUUUCCUCAUACCAAGUAACCCAAGAAAGAUUCCAGGAGGUUUAAGACUCUCUCUGUGAAGAUGGCUUAAAGGGAAAUAAAGAGGCGCCUUUGAACGAACAAAAUACACACAGCGGCCGUAUUUUCCGAGUCUUUCUGAAAAUGCAGCACCCCCUGAACAGGGUGCCAUGGGAAUUGUUAGAACUCUUUACAAUAGCCACGAAGAAAAUGUAACGGCAGGGAAAAGGUGCAUGAACAACAAGAAAAAAUGUACAACUGUAAAUAACAGGUUUCACUGUGUCAAGAACAUUUGUAUUAAAAAGCUGUGUUAAGAGGAAAACAAAAACCUAACACAUAA